rfam:Altererythrobacter xiamenensis strain CGMCC 1.12494 genome assembly, contig: Ga0171583_13
AUUCGCUUGCGUGACUGACGAGACAGGCGGAGUACCGCCGGGGAGCGCAAGCCCUGGUUUGCCGCUCGUCUGGGCACCCUCC